CCCUCUGCGCCGUUUCUCACUACCACCCUCCUCCCCCGGCACCGCCGCUGGCGUGCUCGGGCUAAACCCCCUUCAUUCCGCCUGCGAUGGAGAAAUGUUCCCGGGACCAGAAGGAAUGAUAGGACUGGGGUUGGUCUCUAUGACAACUGGAAGGAAGAGGAACCAAGAUCAACUGUAACUACUCUUCCAAGUCUCAGUGCCCAGCAGUGCCUAUCUUUCUGCCUCCUCCCCACCCCACCAACCCCUACCACCACCACUACAAAAAGUACAUAUAUGAGCCUCCUGACCUGAGGAAGCUUCUAUCCACGUCUGUGAGCUCCCAUAGAUCAUCCUGAGGAAUCAAAGAAUCAUCAUCAUCUGAGGCUGUUAAGAUGAAUUUCAAAACCACACCUGAAAUAUGUUUUAUUAUCGUUUACAGGGUGCCUUUACAUCUCAUUUAUUCCUCCCAGCAACAUUUGGACGAUGAGGCAGUUUACCCAGAGGUACAGUUUUUAAAAAUGACAGAACCUAGACGGACUUCUGAGAAGUUAGCUACUCUGCCUUACGAUAAUCAAAAGAAGGCAUGGAUUCAGUGAAAGUCCAAUACAUUCCUGGAAGGCUUUUGCUCCUCUUAAAUACAUAUGUGUGUCUUCACUC